rnacentral:tRNA from 1 species
GGGGAUUUAGCUCAGUGGUGCAAGCGCUUGCCUAGCAAGUACAAGGUCCUGAGUUUGAUCCCCAGUACCCCCA